rnacentral:piRNA from 1 species
UCCCGGGCGGCAAUGCCUUGCAAUUAGGC